rnacentral:rRNA from 1 species
UACGUAGGGCGCAAGCGUUGUCCAGAAUUAUUGGGCGUAAAGAGCUCGUAGGCGGUCCGUCGCGUCUGCCGUGAAAACCCGAGGCUUAACCUCGGGCUGGCGGUGGAUACGGGCAGACUAGAGGUAGGUAGGGGAGAAUGGAAUUCCCGGUGUAGCGGUGAAAUGCGCAGAUAUCGGGAGGAACACCGGUGGCGAAGGCGGUUCUCUGGGCCUUACCUGACGCUGAGGAGCGAAAGCGUGGGGAGCGAACAGG